rnacentral:rRNA from 1 species
AACUAACGCUGGCGGCGUGCCUAACACAUGCAAGUCGUACGAGAAAGUCGGCUUCGGCUGAUGAGUAAAGUGGCGCACGGGUGAGUAACGCGUGGAUAAUCUGCCCUUAAGUGUGGAAUAACGUACCGAAAGGUGCGCUAAUACCGCAUAAUACUGAGUGACUACUGUUGCUCAGUCAAAGAAGGCCUCUGUUUACAAGCUUUUGCUUUAGGAUGAGUCCGCGUACCAUUAGCUAGUUGGUCGGGUAAUGGCCUACCAAGGCGACGAUGGUUAGCUGGUCUGAGAGGAUGAUCAGCCACACUGGAACUGAGACACGGUCCAGACUCCUACGGGAGGCAGCAGUGAGGAAUAUUGCGCAAUGGGGGCAACCCUGACGCAGCAACGCCGCGUGAGUGAGGAAUGUUUUCGGACCGUAAAGCUCUGUCGAGCGGGAAGAAAUGCAUGGUGGCUAAUAUCCAUCAUGCUUGACGGUACCGAC